GACGAACGCUGGCGGCGUGCUUAACACAUGCAAGUCGAACGAAGAGCGAUGGAAGCUUGCUUCUAUCAAUCUUAGUGGCGAACGGGUGAGUAACGCGUAAUCAACCUGCCCUUCAGAGGGGGACAACAGUUGGAAACGACUGCUAAUACCGCAUACGAUCUAAUCUCGGCAUCGAGGAUAGAUGAAAGGUGGCCUCUACAUGUAAGCUAUCACUGAAGGAGGGGAUUGCGUCUGAUUAGCUAGUUGGAGGGGUAACGGCCCACCAAGGCGAUGAUCAGUAGCCGGUCUGAGAAGAUGAACGGCCACAAUGGGACUGAGACACGGCCCAGACUCCUACGGGAGGCAGCAGUGGGGAAUCUUCCGCAAUGGACGAAAGUCUGACGGAGCAACGCCGCGGGAGGGAUGACGGCCUUCGGGUUGUAAAGCUCUGUUAAUCGGGACGAAAGGCCUUCUUGCGAAUAGUGAGAAGGAUUGACGGUACCGGAAUAGAAAGCCACGGCUAACUACGUG
rnacentral:rRNA from 1 species